rnacentral:rRNA from 1 species
UACGAGGGGGGCGAGCGUUGUUCGGAAUUAUUGGGCGUAAAGCGCGCGCAGGCGGUCCUUUAAGUCUGAUGUGAAAGCCCACGGCUCAACCGUGGAGGGUCAUUGGAAACUGGAGGACUUGAGUACAGAAGAGGAAAGCGGAAUUCCACGUGUAGCGGUGAAAUGCGUAGAGAUGUGGAGGAACACCAGUGGCGAAGGCGGCUUUCUGGUCUGUAACUGACGCUGAGGCGCGAAAGCGUGGGGAGCAAACAGG